AACUUAUUGAGGUUUUCUUCGGUAUUUGGACGAAUCCCGUUUCAGCGGCAAGCUCAAAACUUAUUGUAGUCAAUAGCAGUGGCUUUGUUCAGUUCAGAAAGGAGUACAAGGCACGAUUAAGUUGGAAAGGAAACAUGACGUCUUCAUCGGCUGUGUUUGUUCUUCACAAUGUGCGACCUGAAGAUGGGAACAAGUAUUACGGGAUACAUGUGGAGUUUGACUUACACUAUCCACUCAUCGAUACACUAAAGCUUCAAGUGAAGGAAACAAGUAAAAAACAGAGAUUUACUUUGAAACCCAGCAACCCAACAAUAGUCUACAAGGGCGAGAAUGUUUCUCUAGAAUGGCGCUAUCAUCAUCCGAGACAUAUGAAGCUUGUUGAAGUUUUCUUUGGAAUUUGGACGAAUCCUGUUUCAGCGGCCGACAAGAGUCUCGUGGCCGUCAACAGUAGUGGUGCUGUUGAAGUGAGAGAGGAGUACAAGUCACGAUUAAGUUGGAAAGUGAACGUAACCUCUUCGGUGGCUGUGUUUGUUCUACACAAUGUGCGACCUGAGGAUGGGAACAAGUAUUAUGGGAUACAUGUGGAGUUUGACUUACACUAUCCACUCAUCGAUACAUUGAAGCUUCAGGUGGAAACAAAACAUAUUCCAUUAAUCAAGUUUGUCACAUCUCCACCCCCGCUCAGGAUAGGACAGUCUGUAAGCCUUAAUUGUGUGGCAAACAAAAGUAUGGCUCCUGUUAAAGUCGCGUGGUAUAGGGAACAAAAAGUUUUGGAAAGUGGCAUUUCUGAGGUGGUAGUCACCCGCAACAUCACAUCCGAGGACUUUGGCGAAUAUACAUGUAUCGCUGAAAACCACGAAGGAGAAGAUAGAAAGAGUGUUUACCUUAGAGUAGCAGAAAGUGAACCAACAUAUGGAACCACAACAAAAAUUGAUCAGACGGCCUUCCACACUCACUCAGAGAUUGAAGGAUCAGUAAAACCAUCUGUCUUUGUUGUGGAAGGGACAUUCUCACGGAAAACAGAAGGGUUGGUCGAUGGAUCCUUGGUCGCUAUUAUAAUAGCACUCAGUGUCAGUGUAAUCAUCUUUACUGGAUUGGGUUGUUUCUUGCGAAUAAAAUGCAAGCCCAUGAAGGAAAAUCCUGAGAGACACCAAGACAGGAGAGGAAUAACAGCUUAUUCAUUUACACCAGAAAUGGAUCUCACGUCUGAAGCGGCCCAAGGUACUGUCGAAGAAAGAACUUCCGUUUUAUCAUCAGAAACACAUUUUGGUAUAGAAGAUACUUCGUUCAUGGCAGAACAACGAGAGACAUCGAUACGAAACACAGAAAGCAUCUACAAGAAGCCAAGAGCAUCGCAAUGUUUGUUGUUGGCAACAUUUAAACCUGAAAUGAACCCUACAGCUCUUGAAACUAAACCAUACGAGUUACCAACAGGGCCUAAAACAUUUAAUUCUUCCGAGGAAUGUGAAAGGAGUAAUAGUUCAUCUCCAAGAACUUGUCUUUCUGAACAUAACCUUCAACCUUCAGCCGGUUUUGAAAACACAGAGAGUGGCAGAUUCAGCCACGGAGAGACCCAGAUGGUGUGCUCAACACGCCCCCGGCCUAAGCCAAGGAAAAAAUUCAAUAGAAAAGCACCAGGAACAUUACCUGUGGAAUGUCUGCGAAGCAACCCUUUGUGUGAUGAAGCAGGAGUUGAACACUGCGCACGCGCCAAAGUAUCAGAUCAAAUAGAUAUUGACGGCUCCACUCCUCAAACUUUCCGCGAAAAAACGUCCUAUCAAAAUGCAAGCUUGCCAAAAGCCCUUUGCAAGAACGCAGCAUAUCAAAAUUCAUCUCAGCUGCUAACAGCAGUUCAGGUGGAGUCACCAUAUACCCUCGUGUUCAGCAACAAAAAAUGGGAAGUUCCAAGUGAUCAUUUGUCACUGAUUGAGCGAAUUGGCGGUGGCACAUUUGGUGAAGUGUGGAAGGGUAGAGGACUGGAUGUUUGUGGUACUCAAGGCUGGUCUUUUGUCGCUGUUAAAAUGCUGAAGGAAAACUUCUCAAAGUCAGACCUGACGGAUUUGUUGUCUGAGCUGGACUUGCUGAAGAAACUGAAACCUCAUCCUAACGUGAUUCAACUUUUGGGCUGUUUAACCAAGGAUGUUAUUCGAUGUGAAGGAAGGCGCACGUUCAAACCACCCCUAGUUAUUCUGGAGUUUGUCGCUCACGGAGAUCUUCUUGGGUUUUUGAAAAGAAGUAGAGGGGAGACAGAUGAUUAUUAUGAUUUGAAAAGGAAAGAAAUUCCAAGAAAAAUAUCCAUACAACAACUUUACAAAUUCGCGUCUGAUAUCGCGCGAGGAAUGGAAUUCAUUUCAGCUCAUCAGCUCAUUCACCGAGACUUAGCAGCGAGAAACGUUUUAGUUGGAGAGGGUCUACGCUGUAAAAUCACUGAUUUUGGAAUGGCGAGAGACCUGGGAAGAGGUGAAAUAUAUGUCAGGAGGUCUAAUGGAGUUGUGCCGGUAAAGUGGAUGGCAGUCGAGUCCUUGACAAAACAAGUUUUUACCAUAAAAAGUGACGUGUGGAAACCCUUAUGAGGGAAUGUCGGGAGAAGAAGUCUUCCAGUACGUUGCAAAUGGUCACAGGUUACGAAGGACCUCAAAAGUCAGCCCAGAAUUAUAUGACCUGAUGCUGCAAUGUUGGCAGGAGGACCCUUUCAGGCGUCCAACAUUUGGCGCGAUCGCAUCUUGGACCGAAACUCUUGCUUAAUGCCCCU